AAGAAAUAAAAAGUAGGGGAGGGGAGAAUGGAGCGGAGCGUUUUCAGGGGGAAGCGGCCACGACUUAUUCCAGUGAAAGUCAACUGAUCCCCCGAGUAAAAAUUCAUGCUCGCAAGACCGCAGACCUUCUCCCCGCCAGUAAACCGGCCAAAGCGACCAAGAGCGGAAGAAGCUCCGCCAUCGGAAACAACGGAGGGAAACCCUGGCUUCUGAUUGGCUAGGAGGGAAGUCUCGGAAGGAGAAAAAUUCUUUGUUGCUGCGAAGUGACCAAUCAGGGAGCCGCUCGUUGUUCGUCGACGUUCCAAGGCGUUCCAAAGUGGGAGGCGCGUCCUUUGAUGUCUAUGGCUGCGGGAGCCGCAGCGAUGGUGCUCGGAAAGCCGCUCGGACCUUGGGAUUUUGGCUGCACUGCAGACAUCAUCAGAACAAUACCACAGGAUCUGUUUGCAGAGCUAUGUGAGCAAACCAUUCAGACUCUUCGGUGUGAGAUCGCAGCUGUGAACACAGUGGAGCUGUGUCAGAGAUUUCAGGCAGCUGGGAUUGAAAUAGUCACUAGUGACCUGGAAAAGGUUGUUAAUGCCAUUUCCUUUGUUUUCAGCACAGCAGCAAAAGAUAAACUCUCGCCAGAAGACCUGUCUACCAGGCUAGGCGGUGCAGCUGGUACGCUGCCGAAACAAGCUGUCCAGGUUCUUCGUCACGUCUGGAACGAACAGGGCCGCUCGAUCACAGUGUCGGAAGAUGCUAAAAAUGUAGCCGUUGUUGGACGGCUUAUUGAUUUUCAGUGGAAGCUGGGGAUGGCCGUGAGCUCCGACAGCUGCAAAUCUUUGAAGUCUCCUUACGUUACGAUGGCAGUAAAAGUGGCAGAUGCUUCAGGCCGCAUCACAAGCAAAACAUUUGAAAUGACGGUCCCACAAUUUCAGAAUGAAAGAGAGAGAGAAUUUGGACAUUAGAGGAGAGAAGGGAGGUUGAAGAAAUGCAGAAGUGUGAAAAAGCCCUGACUGGGGAUUUGAACUUGGACAUACAAGCCAGACACUAACUUCUACAAUCAGUUCAAGGAAAUGGCAGCCGUCCUUGAGACAGUUUGAGCAUCUGCUGCGCAGUUUGUUUGAACCAAAUGAGCUGUUCCUGUUUGCCUUAAAACAUUGUGGUUUUUGCUGCUAAGGGAAGGUGUCAUUUCAGUUUCCUACACGACUUUGCCCAUCUGCUGGACUGUUCCUGUUCAAAGGCCUGUAAAAUGCCUUCUUAUAUACUGAAAUGCUACACAUAAGUAGAAGGACAUGCUGCUUAAGAGCAAUUGUAGUGCGCAUAUGACUUUCACCAUACAGAAGAACCCAGAAAAGUGGGACUGUGCAGGAGAUGUUGCCUGAGUGCUGUUAGCCCACAAUGAUAAAGCUUGUGGUUUCUGUUAAUUUUCAGCUCUAUAUCAUAUUAAUUAGCUUGUUACCCAUGAAACGUGCCAUGCCACAUAUUUUGGGAACUAAAAAUGCUAUUGUUUUCUAUUAAAUCUAAUGGUGGGGGAAAUAGUUCCACCUUUAUUUCCCCUAUUGUCUGCUGCCUUUUGCUUAUGAACCUUAUGACUGUGUGUGAAUGUACUUGUCUGCUGCCGGAUGUUUUAAACACAGUUAUUUUAGGCUGUGAUUUGUAGUUUUCCAUGCAUGCCCUAGACUGCAGAACCUUGAGCCUUCUGAAAAUCAGGAGUGGUCCAAGGGGGCUGCAUCAGAUAGGCAAAACUGUCUGGCUGUCCCCUGUAUGCAUGCAUGUUUCCCCUUUUUAAGAUCCUAGCUAGCCCAUUAAAGGUAAAGGACCCCAGAGAGUUAAAUCCAGUCGCGAAUGACUCUGGGGUUGCGGCGCUCAUCUCGCUUAACAGGCUGAGGGAGCCGGCGUUUGUCCGCAGACAGUUUUUUCGGAUGAUGUGGCCAGCAUGGCUAAGCCGCUUCUGGCAAAACCAGAGCAGCACAUGGAAACAUUGUUUACCUUCCUGCAGGUACCUAUUUAUCUACUUGCACUUUUUGGCAUGCUUUCGAACUGCUAGGUUGGCAGGAGCUGGGACAGAACAAGAGGAGCUCACCCCAUCGCGGGGAUUCAAACCGCCGACCUUUUGAUCGACGUAAGUCUACCUAAAAAGGAAUUCCUGUGACUACUCUGGGGAGAUUCAACACAAUGGUACUGCUUGCCCAGUAGUGAGCUACUGCUAAGAACUAGGUCUCAAGAGACAGACUCUCCUGAGCCUUUAGAGAAUAGCUUGUUUCACGUUUCAAUGUUUUGACAAUAGCUUAAGGUUGAAAGCCAUAUAGUACUCUGCCUGCCUUCAUUGUGCAGCUGGAGAGUCACGUUAUCAGAAUUGUCUCUCCAGAAAAAAGUACCAGUCUUCCCUCUGGAAGGGCUGGCUUAGUUUUUUGUGAACUUCUACCUAAGGCUCGCUGAUAAAACAUGGCACCAUCUCCAACAAUGGCUAAUUUUGCUGCGUUUCUACAUCAGAGUUAAUUACUGGUACCCAACGGUGGCGCUGUGGGUUAAACCACUGAGCCUAGGGCUUGCUGAUUAGAAGGUCAGUGGUUCGAAUCCCCGCGACAGGGUGAGCUCCCGUUGCUUGGUCCCAGCUCCUGCCAACCUAGCAGUUCGAAAGCAUGUCAAAGUGCAAGUAGAUAAAUAGGUACUGCUCCAAGCGCGACAGUAAACAGCGUUUCCGUGCGCUGCUCUGGUUCUCCAGAAGCGGUUUAGUCAUGCUGGCCACAUCACCUGGAAGCUGUAUGCCGGCUCCCUCGGCCAAUAAACCAAGAUGAGCGCCGCAACCCCAGAGUUGGUCACGACUGGAGCUAAUGGUCAGGGGUCCCUUUACCUUUACCCAAGUGCACUUAAUGCAGAUACAGAAGAAUCUGCUCCUGCUGUCACUACUGGAAGAAGCAGAAGGGCUGAGAAGGAAAUACUGCACAGAUGCAACGGCCAGUCUUUGUAGGUGUGCAUACUUUGAGCUCCCAGGAUUUCUUUCCACAGACCUCAUGCAAAUAGACCCUUGCCCAGUUUGAGGAUUACUAAACUAGCUGCAGAGCUGCACAGCCAACCUGUUGUUUUGUGUGUGUGUGUGUGCUUGUGUUUUAACAGUCAUGAUCACAACCUAGCAUACCCAAAUAUGAACCCUAAACACUGACUGACAUGAGCAAAAUGCCAUUGAAACCCAAAGCACUUUCUCCUAAGUACUGAGCCACUGCAGGGCUUUGAGGAUAACAAAUGAUAGGCGGAUUAAGGGAUAAGAAGCCAAAUGAUGAAAUAAGUGGAUAAGCCUGUCAGGAGAUGAGGGGGGAUUAUUAGAUGAGUUGAUUUGAAUGGAUCCCCGGAUCGUGAGACAGGAGAGAGGGAGUGCCGUUUUACUGUUGGGGAUGUUACAUCCCGAUCAUACAGUAAUUGUGUUGUUUAGUCGUUUAGUCAUGUCCGACUCUUCGUGAUACAGUAAUUGUAUUUACCCUCAAAAGAAGGCUGCUGGUUUCAGUAGUUCUUGCUUUCAAAUAAACAGGCUUCAAUUUGUUGUUUAGUUGUGUCCGACUCUUCGUGACCCCAUGGACCACAGCAUGCCAGGCACUCCUGUCUUCCACUGCCUCCCGCAGUUUGGUCAAACUCAUGUUGGUAGCUUCGAGAACACUGUCCAACCAUCUCAUCCUCUGUCGUCCCCUUCUCCUUGUGCCCUCAAUCUUUCCCAACAUCAGGGUCUUCUCUUCUCAUGAGGUGGCCAAAGUAUUGGAGCCUCAGCUUCACGACCUGUCCUUCCAGUGAGCACUCGGGGCUGAUUUCCUUCAGAAUGGAUAGGUUUGAUCUUCUUGCAGUCCUUAAAUGUUUCAAAAGGGGAAGGCGAGAGUUUGGGAACCACUGGUCUAGUGUAUAAGAUGUGCAGCUGUAGUCUUUAAGGCGCCAGCCCCCAACCUACAAAACAAAUAAAACACUACCUCUUGUAAAUUUAUAGUAUUUGGGGGGAGGGAUACCAUAUAGCCUAUAAAACC